CCUACGGGAGGCAGCAGUGGGGAAUUUUGGACAAUGGGCGCAAGCCUGAUCCAGCAAUGCCGCGUGAGUGAAGAAGGCCUUCGGGUUGUAAAGCUCUUUUGUCAGGGAAGAAACGGUGGGAGCUAAUAUCUCUUGCUAAUGACGGUACCUGAAGAAUAAGCACCGGCUAACUACGUGCCAGCAGCCGCGGUAAUACGUAGGGUGCAAGCGUUAAUCGGAAUUACUGGGCGUAAAGCGUGCGCAGGCGGUUUUGUAAGUCUGUCGUGAAAUCCCCGGGCUCAACCUGGGAAUUGCGAUGGAGACUGCAAGGCUAGAAUCUGGCAGAGGGGGGGUAGAAUUCCACGUGUAGCAGUGAAAUGCGUAGAGAUGUGGAGGAACACCGAUGGCGAAGGCAGCCCCCUGGGUCAAGAUUGACGCUCAUGCACGAAAGCGUGGGGAGCAAACAGGAUUAGAUACCCUGGUAGUCCACGCCCUAAACGAUGUCUACUAGUUGUCGGGUUUUAAUUAACUUGGUAACGCAGCUAACGCGUGAAGUAGACCGCCUGGGGAGUACGGUCGCGAAGAUUAAAACGUCAAAGGAAUUGACGG
rnacentral:rRNA from 1 species